GGAAAUCCCCCUUUUAAAUUUGAUACAUUGGCCUCUUCCAGACUCCCAAGCCUUCAGGGAGGAAGUAAUAGCAAGUGGGAUUAAAUGGGCUUGAAGCUGAGGGACCAGAGGACUAAGGACCUCAGCCCUGCUUGCUGGGGUGCAGUUUGCACACCGAUGGGCAAGGCAGUUUCUGGCAUGAGAGUUCCUGUGCAAGAGGCUAUUUGCUAUAGCUGCAGAGGAAAUCAGCUGUGUCACCCCACAGGCUCUUUUCUGUCAGUAGGAAACUGUGGUGAAGGCUCAUAUUAUACGCAGCAGCAUUGUAUUGACAAGGGUUUCCAAUACAAAGUUGACUUAAAAGAAACCAAGGUGCUGCAGUGGUACAACUGUGUGUUUAAUAAUACCAGUACAAAUCAUCACUCAUAUCCUGCUGGUGUCAGAUCAUGUUCUUCCUACAGGACAGAGGACGGUUACCAAGUCACAGGCAUGUGUGCCUGAACGUGACCCACAUAAUCCUCUAAAACAAGGAUUUGUAGGAAGACUCCUUGAAAGGUCAUCCAGCCCACCCGUAGCCCAAGGCAGGAUCGAUUGUGUGUAAGUUUUUGUGGACAGAGAUUUGUUGAGCCUGUUCCUGGAGCCCUCAGCCAUGGAGAACUGCACCCUGCAGCCACAGGGAGCGACCGUAGCGCCAGCACUCCAGCAGCUGUCCUGGCUUCCCUGAAUCGAGGCCCUUUCUCUCUUCUGACUGGGAGCAUCUGACAAAUGAAGGAGCUGCUCCAGCAGGAAAGAGUAUCCAUGUCCAUCCCACAGCCCUGACAGCUUCAACCCCGAUUGCUCAUCUGUUUCCAAGUACAACUGAGACAUUUUGCUGGUGGGCAAAGAAGUCAGGGACACUGCAUCCAGCACCCUGCAGCAGAGGAAACAUUAGUACUGCUGUUGUUAGCCUUGUUAUUUUCUCCUAAUAAAAAGGUGGU